AUUGAACGCUGGCGGCAGGCCUAACACAUGCAAGUGGAACGAGUGGCGGACAGGUGAGUAAUGGCUGGGAAACUGCCUGAUGGAGGGAGAUAACUACUGGAAACGGUAGCUAAUACCGCAUACCAUUGGAUGGGCCACGAUGGGAUAAGCUAGUAGGUGGGGUAAAGGCUCACUAAGUCGACGAGCCCUAGCUGGUCUGAGAGGAUGACCAGCCACACUGGAACUGAGACACGGUCCAGACUCCUACGGGAGGCAGCAGUGGGGAAUAGUGCACAAUGGGCGCAAGCCUGAUGCAGCCAUGCCGCGUGUAUGAAGAAGGCCUUCGGGUUGUAAAGUACUUUCAGCGGGGAGGCUUUACCCGCAGAAGAAGCACCGGCUAACUCCGUGCCAGCAGCCGCGGUAAUUC
rnacentral:rRNA from 1 species